rnacentral:rRNA from 1 species
AUAGAACCUGAAACCCUGCACUUACAAGCUGUGGAAGCACAUUUCUUGUGUGACCGCGUACUUUUUGUAGAACGGGCCAACGAGUUACGUUAAGUAGCAAGGUUAAGCACUUAAGGUGUGGAGCCGUAGCGAAAGCGAGUUUUAACUGAGCGUUCAGUUACUUGACGUAGACCCGAAACCGGGCGACCUACCCAUGAGCAGGAUGAAGCGA